rnacentral:rRNA from 1 species
CCUACGGGUGGCAGCAGUGGGGAAUAUUGCACAAUGGGGGAAACCCUGAUGCAGCGAAGCCGCGUGAGCGAUGAAGUAUUUCGGUAUGUAAAGCUCUAUCAGCAGGGAAGAAAAUGACGGUACCUGACUAAGAAUCCCCGGCUAACUACGUGACAGCAGCCGCGGUACUACGUAGGGGGCCAGCGUUAUCCGGAUUUACUGGGUGUAAAGGGAGCGUAGACGGCGGUGCAAGCCAGUUGUGAAAGCCCGGGGCUCAACCCCGGUACUGCAUUUGAAACUGUGCUGCUAGAGUGUCGGAGAGGCAGGCGGAAUUAGUGGUGUAGCGGUGAAAUGCGUAGAUAUUAGGAGGAACACCAGUGGCGAAGGCGGCCUGCUGGACGAUGACUGACGUUGAGGCUCGAAAGCGUGGGGAGCAAACAGGAUUAGAUACCCGUGUAGUC